rnacentral:rRNA from 1 species
AGAGUUUGAUCCUGGCUCAGAAUGAACGUUGGCGGCGUGGAUUAGGCAUGCAAGUCGAACGGGUCCGGUCUUCGGAUCGGGCCAGUGGCGCAAGGGUGAGUAAGGCGACGGUAACCAACCCCAUGGUUGGGCAUAGCCGCGGGAAACUGCGGGUAAUUCCCAGCGAUGUUGGCGGGGGGCCAUCCCCCGCCAACCAAAGCUCAGGCGCCGUGGGACGGACCGUCGUGGUAUUAGGUCGUUGGCGGGGUAAUGGCCCACCAGAGCCUCUGAUGCCUACCGGGCGUGCGAGACGCGGCCCGGCACACUGGGACUGAGACACUGCCCAGCACUCCUACGGGGAGGCUGCAGUCGAGAAUCUUCGGCAAUGGGCGCGAAGGCCUGACCGAGCGACGCCGCGUGGAUGAUGAGCGCCUGCGGGUCGUAGCUCCUGUCGAGGGGGA